AUGAACGCUGGCGGCGUGCCUAAUACAUGCAAGUCGAGCGAACAGACGAGGAGCUUGCUCCUCUGACGUUAGCGGCGGACGGGUGAGUAACACGUGGAUAACCUACCUAUAAGACUGGGAUAACUUCGGGAAACCGGAGCUAAUACCGGAUAAUAUAUUGAACCGCAUGGUUCAAUAGUGAAAGACGGUUUUGCUGUCACUUAUAGAUGGAUCCGCGCCGCAUUGGCUAGUUGGUAAGGUAACGGCUUACCAAGGCAACGAUGCGUAGCCGACCUGAGAGGGUGAUCGGCCACACUGGAACUGAGACACGGUCCAGACUCCUAUGGGAGGCAGCAGUAGGGAAUCUUCCGCAAUGGGCGAAAGCCUGACGGAGCAACGCCGCGUGAGUGAUGAAGGUCUUCGGAUCGUAAAACUCUGUUAUUAGGGAAGAACAAAUGUGUAAGUAACUAUGCACGUCUUGACGGUACCUAAUCAGAAAGCCACGGCUAACUACGUG
rnacentral:rRNA from 1 species